rnacentral:sRNA from 1 species
GAAUCAGCUGAUCCCGCGGACCCACUGGGUUGCCAAGCUCGCGCCGGAUGCGGAGCGCGGUGCUGCCGGUGGAGCUUCAGGUCUUGAUAGACUUUCUGUAAAGAAGGAAUGAUUUGGUGAUGGAGUGUUCCCACUGACCGAUGGACUCAAAGAAGAGAAGCUCAACAGAGGCAGAAGGAUCCAAGGAAAGAGGCCUGGUCCAUAUCUGGCAGGCAGGAUCCUUUCCCAUAACACCAGAGAGAUUGCCAGGCUGGGGAGGAAAGACUGUUUUGCAGGCAGCCCUCGGAGUGAAACAUGGAGUUCUUCUGACUGAAGAUGGUGAGGUCUACAGCUUUGGGACUCUUCCCUGGAGAAGUGGACCAGUGGAGAUUUGUCCAAGUAGCCCCAUUCUAGAAAAUGCCCUGGUUGGGCAAUAUGUUGUUACUGUGGCAACAGGAAGCUUCCAUAGUGGAGCAGUGACAGACAAUGGUGUCGCGUACAUGUGGGGAGAGAAUUCUGCUGGCCAGUGUGCAGUAGCCAACCAGCAGUAUGUGCCGGAACCAAAUCCUGUCAGCAUUGCUGAUUCUGAGGCCAGCCCUUUGUUAGCAGUCAGGAUUUUACAGUUGGCAUGUGGCGAGGAGCACACUCUGGCAUUGUCAAUAAGCAGAGAGAUUUGGGCAUGGGGUACCGGUUGUCAGUUGGGUCUCAUUACCACUGCCUUCCCAGUGACAAAGCCACAAAAGGUAGAACAUCUUGCUGGGCGAGUGGUGCUUCAAGUUGCCUGUGGUGCUUUCCACAGCUUAGCCCUUGUACAGUGCCUCCCUUCCCAGGAUCUGAAGCCAGUCCCAGAACGAUGCAACCAGUGCAGCCAGCUCUUGAUUACUAUGACUGACAAAGAAGACCAUGUGAUUAUAUCAGACAGUCAUUGUUGCCCAUUAGGUGUGACACUGACAGAAUCUCAGGCAGAAAACCAUGCCAGCACUGCUCUCAGCCCCUCCACUGAAACCCUUGACAGGCAGGAAGAAGUAUUUGAGAACACUCUCGUAGCAAAUGAUCAGUCUGUUGCUACUGAACUGAAUGCAGUAAGUGCUCAGAUCACAAGCAGCGAUGCCAUGUCCUCUCAACAAAAUGUCAUGGGAACAACUGAAAUUUCCUCUGCCAGAAACAUACCAUCAUACCCUGACACCCAAGCAGUCAAUGAAUACCUACGGAAACUGUCAGAUCAUUCAGUAAGAGAGGACUCAGAGCAUGGUGAAAAGCCAAUGCCAUCUCAGCCUCUUUUAGAAGAAGCAAUUCCUAAUCUCCACAGCCCGCCUACCACAAGCACCUCAGCCCUAAACAGCCUGGUGGUCUCUUGUGCAUCUGCUGUUGGUGUGAGAGUGGCUGCUACUUAUGAAGCUGGUGCCUUGUCACUGAAGAAAGUUAUGAACUUUUAUAGUACAACCCCUUGUGAAACUGGAGCUCAGGCAGGCAGUAGUGCCAUUGGCCCCGAAGGUUUGAAAGAUAGCAGGGAAGAACAGGUUAAACAGGAAUCAAUGCAAGGAAAGAAAAGUUCAAGUCUUGUGGAUAUCAGAGAAGAAGAAACAGAGGGAGGCAGUCGAAGACUCUCCCUCCCUGGAUUGUUGUCACAAGUUUCCCCCAGGCUCUUAAGAAAGGCUGCACGGGUGAAAACGAGGACAGUGGUUCUGACCCCCACAUACAGUGGAGAAGCAGAUGCGCUCCUGCCUUCUCUGAGAACAGAAGUGUGGACCUGGGGGAAAGGGAAGGAAGGGCAGCUGGGGCACGGCGAUGUUCUGCCUAGGCUUCAACCGUUGUGUGUAAAAUGUCUGGAUGGCAAAGAAGUAAUCCAUCUGGAGGCAGGUGGUUACCAUUCUCUUGCACUUACUGCGAAAUCCCAGGUUUACUCAUGGGGUAGCAAUACCUUUGGUCAACUUGGGCAUUCCGAUUUUCCAACAACAGUUCCUCGUCUUGCAAAGAUAAGCAGUGAAAAUGGAGUCUGGAGCGUAGCUGCAGGCAGGGAUUAUUCCCUGUUUUUAGUGGAUACAGAAGACUUCCAGCCUGGGUUAUAUUACAGUGGCCGACAGGACCCUACAGAAGGUGACAACCUUCCAGAGAAUCACAGUGGUUCUAAGACUCCAGUACUUCUCUCCUGUAGUAAGCUUGGAUAUAUAAGCAGAGUGACAGCAGGAAAAGAUAGCUAUCUAGCCUUGGUGGAUAAAAACAUUAUGGGGUAUAUUGCCAGUCUCCACGAGUUAGCUACUACAGAAAGACGAUUCUAUUCAAAACUAAGUGAUAUCAAAUCUCAGAUUCUCAGGCCUCUUCUCAGUUUAGAAAAUUUGGGCACUACAACUACAGUCCAGCUGUUGCAGGAGGUGGCUAGCCGAUUCAGCAAGCUGUGUUACCUCAUUGGUCAGCAUGGAGCCUCAUUGAGCAGCUUCCUUCAUGGGGUAAAGGAAGCCAGGAGUUUGGUCAUCCUGAAGCAUUCAAGUCUCUUCUUGGAUAGUUAUACAGAGUAUUGCACAUCUAUUACAAAUUUCCUGGUUAUGGGAGGAUUCCAGCUUCUUGCUAAGCCUGCCAUUGAUUUCCUAAAUAAAAACCAAGAGCUGUUGCAAGAUUUGUCAGAAGUGAAUGACGAAAACACUCAGUUGAUGGAAAUACUGAAUACUUUGUUUUUCUUGCCAAUCAGACGACUUCAUAAUUACGCAAAAGUUUUGCUAAAGCUUGCUACUUGUUUUGAAGUGGCAUCUCCAGAAUAUCAGAAACUGCAGGAUUCCAGUUCUUGUUAUGAGUGUCUUGCUCUCCAUCUCGGCAGGAAAAGGAAGGAAGCAGAAUACACACUGGGCUUCUGGAAGACCUUCCCCGGAAAAAUGACGGAUUCCUUGAGGAAGCCAGAGCGUCGACUGCUGUGUGAGAGUAGUAACCGAGCCCUGUCUCUGCAGCAUGCUGGGAGGUUUUCCGUGAAUUGGUUCAUUCUCUUUAAUGAUGCCCUGGUCCAUGCCCAGUUCUCCACGCACCAUGUUUUCCCUCUGGCCACGCUGUGGGCAGAGCCACUGUCUGAAGAAGCUGGUGGUGUGAAUGGCUUAAAGAUAACUACACCUGAGGAGCAGUUCACUCUCAUUUCAUCUACACCCCAGGAAAAGACAAAGUGGCUACGAGCUAUAAGCCAAGCCGUAGAUCAGGCUUUGAGAGGGAUGUCUGAUCUCCCCCCUUAUGGAAGUGGUAGCAGUGUUCAGAGACAGGAACCACCCAUUUCACGCAGUGCCAAAUAUACUUUCUACAAGGAUCCUCGCCUAAAGGAUGCCACCUAUGAUGGACGCUGGCUUUCAGGGAAGCCUCAUGGCAGAGGGGUUUUGAAGUGGCCUGAUGGAAAGAUGUAUUCUGGCAUGUUCAGGAAUGGCUUGGAAGAUGGGUAUGGAGAAUACAGAAUCCCAAACAAGGCAAUGAACAAAGAAGACCAUUAUGUGGGCCAUUGGAAAGAAGGAAAAAUGUGCGGUCAAGGAGUCUACAGCUAUGCUUCUGGUGAAGUAUUUGAGGGCUGUUUUCAAGAUAAUAUGCGUCAUGGUCAUGGUCUUCUACGAAGUGGGAAAUUGACGUCGUCUUCUCCUAGUAUGUUCAUUGGCCAGUGGGUAAUGGAUAAGAAAGCAGGAUAUGGUGUCUUUGAUGAUAUCACUAGGGGGGAAAAGUAUAUGGGAAUGUGGCAAGAUGAUGUGUGUCAAGGGAAUGGUGUGGUGGUUACCCAGUUUGGAUUAUACUACGAGGGCAACUUUCACCUUAAUAAAAUGAUGGGAAAUGGGGUUUUGCUUUCCGAAGAUGAUACUAUCUAUGAAGGAGAAUUUUCAGAUGACUGGACUCUUAGUGGAAAGGUUGGAAACUAGCUUUCUUUUUUUUUCUCCCUAAUAAAUUCUUUUACUAAUUUUUUUUUUUUUUACUUUAAAAAUAGCUGAUUUACAUGCCAUAAAAUUCACCCCUUUCAAGUGCACAUUUCAGUGAUUUUUGGUCAACAUGGCUGUACAAACCACCACCACAAUCCAGUUUCAGAACAUUUCCGUCACCCAAGAAAAUCCCUUCUGCUCAUUCAGUGACUUCCAUUUCCACCUAAAGUCCCAGCCAACCACUAAUCACCCUUAAUCACUCUAUAGAUUUGCCUUUUCUGGGCCUUUUGUAUAAAUGGAAUCAUACACGCAAUCUCCUCUAUGUGGCUUCUUACACUUAGUAUAAUGUUUUUGUUUUUUCCAUAUUGUGGCAUGUAUAGUAUUUGUUCCUUUUUAUGGCUGAAUAGUAUUCCAAAACUACAUUUUGUUUAUCCUUUUACCAGUUGAUGGACAUUGGGUUAUUUCCAACUUUAGACUAUUGUAAAUAAUGCUGCUAUAAACUUUUGAAUGCAGUUUCUUGUGUAGACAUAUGUUUUCAUUUUCAUUUCUCAAGUAGAUGCCUGGAGUGUAAUUGCUAAGUUGUAUGGUAAAUUGAUGUUUAACAUAUUAAGAAACUGUCGAACUUUUUUCCAAAGUGUCUGUACCAUUUUACAUUCCCAUCAGCAAUGUCUGAGGAUACUAAUUUCUCCAUAUCAAAAAAUAUUUCUUAUUUUCUGUCUUUUUUCUUAUAGCCAUUCCAAUGGGUAUGAAGUGGUAUCUCCUGGUUUGAAUUUGCAUUCCCUAGUGACUAAUGAUGUAGAACAUGCUUAUUAGUGAUUCAUAUAUCUUCUUUGAUGAAAUGUCUAUUCAGAUCUUGGCCUAUUUCUAAAAUUUUGUUUGUACUCUUGUUGAAUUGUAUGGGUUCUUUCUGUAUUCUGGAUACAUGUCCUUUAUCAGAUAUGAUUUGUAAAUAUUUUCUUGCAGUCUGACUUGUCUUUUAUUUUCUUAAUGAUGUCUUUUGAAAUAGAAAAGUUUUUCAUUUUAAUAAACUCUAUAAAAAAUUUUAUGAA